rnacentral:piRNA from 1 species
UCUCUUUCGCGCUGUGGGCCAGACUGUC